rnacentral:rRNA from 1 species
UACAGAGGGUGCAAGCGUUGUCCGGAAUGAUUGGGCGUAAAGCAUCUGUAGGUGGUUUUUAAAGUCAACUGUCAAAUCCCAGAGCUCAACUUUGGACAGGCAGUUGAGUACUUAAGGACUUGAGUACGGUAGGGGCAGAGGGAAUUCCUAGUGGAGCGGUGAAAUGCACAGAGAUUAGGAAGAACACCAGUGGCGAAAGCGCUCUGCUGGGCCGUAACUGACACUGAGAGAUGAAAGUUGGGGGAGCGAA